rnacentral:rRNA from 1 species
GAUGAACGCUGGCGGCGUGCUUAACACAUGCAAGUCGAACGAAGCACUUGAAGUUUUUCGGAAUGGAAAGUGACUGAGUGGCGGACGUGUGAGUAACGCGUGGGUAACCUGCCUCAUACAGGGGGAUAACAGUUAGAAAUGACUGCUAAUACCGCAUAAGCGCACAGUACCGCAUGGUACGGUGUGAAAAACUCCGGUGGUAUGAGAUGGACCCGCGUCUGAUUAGCUAGUUGGUGAGGUAACGGCUCACCAAGGCGACGAUCAGUAGCCGACCGGGGAGGGUGACCGGCCACAUUGGGACUGAGACACGGCCCAAACUCCUACGGGAGGCAGCAGUGGGGAAUAUUGCACAAUGGGCGAAAGCCUGAUGCAGCGACGCCGCGUGAACGAAGAAGUAUUUCGGUAUGUAAAGUUCUAUCAGCAGGGAAGAAAAUGACGGUACCUGACUAAGAAGCACCGGCUAAAUACGUGACAGCCGCCGCAGUAAUAC